rnacentral:lncRNA from 1 species
AUGGGCUUUGGAUGGUCAGCGGAGGGAGAAGCUCUUCCGGCUACUACGGCGUCGGCAGGGCUUCCUGGGGAGGAGGCGGCGGUGAGGGUGCAGUCCGUGGGAACAGGGCCGGUGGGAGGUGAGACCGGGUCGGGAGCUUGCUGUGUCCUGCUCAGAAGUUUGGGUUUUGUUCUGUGGCUGGUGCGGAGGACAGAGGGUUGUAAGCAGCGCCUUGAGUCGGUGCCUACGGAGGAGCCGCGGAGCCGCGCGGCCACCCCCACUGCUCACGCCCAACCCCGUCCCGCCCCCAGAUGGGCACGUGGAGCCGCUUCGAGAACUGCGUUGGCAGCCAGGGCCAGGCUGGCCCCGCUCACUUGGGCUGCUCCUCUCAGGGGUCCCUUGAUCCAAGGUAGUGGCAAGACGGGCGGGGUUGCAACCAGCUCAGAUGGGAUGCUGAUGGUGCCCCAGCAGAAGGCUGGUCCCGGAGCAGCUCAGGCCACAGGCCUCAGAGGGAAGGAGGGGGUGCAGGACCUGGUCCGUGCCUUGGCGAGGGGGUCGUCAUCAGUGGUGUUCGGGGAAGGACCCUUAGGUGGCCGUGUUGCCGCUCUGUUCCCGGCAGGGCUAUUGGUGGGCAGAGGGCAUAGCCUCGUCCUGGGCGGCUCUCAACGGCAAAGGCCGCCCCGUGGGUGGCGUGGAAGCCAACAGGGGAGUAAGCUGUGUGCGAGGUAUAUGCAAAGAGGAUGGAGUCAGAGAGCCCAGGAUGGGGAGGCCGGCCCGGGGGCCCUCUUUCGGUUUCCUUUUCACCAGAGCACCUCAGCGUGCGGGCUGGUGCUCGGCCCACUUCCACUCUGUUUUCCGGGUAGUGUUUCGGAGCUGCCCCUUCCUGUGCGCCUGGGCGAGCCCCUCGGCACUGCUGGGUCAGCUGCCAAAGCCGGGCCGCCAGGGCCCGUGUUUCCACAGAGGACCAGCAGCCUGUGCCUUCCCUUUCCCGUCUGUGGAAUGGGUCCAUUCUCUCUCUCCUCCAACGUAAGGAAAGAAGGCUGA